AGGGACCGGUUGAGGGGUAAAGGGAGAGGCCUUGAGGGCUGGACAGUCCAGUGGAGAUCAGGGGUACAGGAUACAGCUGUACCACCCCCUCACCCCAGCCCUAACCUCAGCCUAACCAGCUCCCCUAAAAACAGCCUUUUCCCCCAACAGCAGCACAACACAGCAACCCUAACAGCGAGACCAGAGAGCAACCCUCACACACCAGGACAAUGACAGAACCCUCAGAGAACAACAGACCCACUGCGGCUAGAGAGCAACAGCAGGUGUUUCUGGGCAUCUAAAGCAUAGAGGCUUUGAAGAUUCUGUGAAGUAAACAGCAUGGAAUACAGGGAGUAUUUAGACUCAUGAUUUUGGCUUUUGUGUUUAGGGGUGGUAAAGCGCAUUUGUAAUUUCUGGUUUUGUUCUUGUUUUGUUUUGUAUUUUUUUUUAGGAGGAGCGCAGCAUCCAGAGAUUCCUGGUUGUGUCAAGUACAACACUUUUUUCAGCAGAUUCAUCAUGUCACAAGAGGGAUCCGCCCAGUGUCAAGGAUGAUGUCUGAGAUUGAGGCAUCAGGUGCCAGCCCUAAUAAAGGCCACAGCCUUGGAAUCAGGGUGAAGCUGGAGCCUAAAGCAGCCAGGCACACUCAGGAGAGGCUAACCAAGAAGCUAACAGGCCAUCACGAGGCGUUCCAAGGCAGACUCAUUUCAGAUGAAGAGGAUAAAAUCCAUGGCAAAAUCCAUCCAUCCACCCAUGCCGGGUGAGGAGGUUCCCCAGAGCAGGUCAGUCACUGUUUGUCUCUGCAGGGGGAGUUUAAAGUGUGACUCUGUUACAGCACUGUUCUUUUUCUUUUUAGGAAGUAAAGCUGGAUAUCAGCAGUCAAGGUGAGAUGGGCAAGGUGAGCAUUGAGUAGCUUACAGAAGCAGUUGUUAUUGCUCAAGUCUCUCUGCUGCAACUCUAAGCAUGUGUUCCUAUUUCUGCACCAGGCAUUCUUAGGACAAUGGUGAAUAGCAGAAUUGUUGGGUUUUGGCCAGCGUGCUGCUGAGGUCAUGCAUUGAUAUUUGGUUUUCUUUAAUGUAGCUGGCUAAGAAACACCAGGAGAUUGUUGAACAGCAGUGCCAGCAGGACCUUCCCAGAUGUAGAGGCCACCAUCUUUUGUACAUGACAUGGGCCUGCAUCCUGAGAUGUCUGAGAGAUAAGUAGAGGGCUAAGUCCCACAGAGGGGUGAGAGCGGGGUGCUGGUUUGGGAAUUACUGGGAGAGGUUUUUGAAUCUGCUUUGGAGGAGGGGGAGUGUCCAUGAAGUGGCCCCUUAGGCCCCAUAAAAGCAAAGUCUCACUUUUGAUCACAGUGCUGAGGUGCUCAGGGCAGAGCAGUCCCGGUGUGUCUUGUGUCCCUUGUGUAUUGUGCAUUAUGUGUGUUUGGCUAUGUCCUGUCCUUUAGCUUAGGCCUUUGAGGGGCCUGUCAGAACCCCGGCAUCAUUCUUAGCAUCUGUGAUUUCUGCAUUCCUUGGCCUGGCACCCAGGCCAUAGAACUUUUGACUCGGGAGCUCAGACAGGCAUCAGAAUUGCAUCUCUUUUUAGAAGCAGCUAGUCAGAUGUCUUUUCAGGUCUUGUUCUCAGCUGUACGGACAACUGCAACCCUGCAAGGUUCCAUUAUGGCUGAUUAGGACUUGUAAGAAUGUGAGCACAGGUAGAGCAUUGCGACUGUAGGGCUCCUGGGCAUUCAUCUUUGCAAUUCUUGGACUGAAUCAUUCAGUUUAGCAUCUUCUUUUUCCAGGGCUCUCUGAGCCUCAUCAGCUCACCAUCAGUCUCACCUUAGUCAUCUCAUUUUGCAUCCUCUCAGUCCUUGCAGUCAUUUUCCUUGCCUAGAGGUUUCUGUCUGUGUCGUGUCCCUAUUGUUUGUCACGUCCUGUCGUGUCAGGGGUGUCAGCACACAUUUGUGUCGGAGCUGCUCUGCCCUGCCGCAUAGCCUGCUGCAAUAGGACAAGUCCCGGGGACUUGGAAUUUGUAGUAUGUGGUGUAGUUGGACUCUAGAUGGGAUUUGUAGAUGGACACAAGAUGUCUGGAGCUCUUAAG